GAUUAACGCUGGCGGCGUGCCUAACACAUGCAAGUCGAACGAUGAAACUCAUUAGAUUUCUUCGGAAUGAAAAUGAAUGGAUUAGUGGCGAACGGGUGAGUAACGCGUGAGUAACCUGCCUUACACAAGGGGAUAGCCUCUGGAAACGGAGAAUAAUACCCUAUGAAACCAGACAAUCGCAUGAUAAUCUGGUCAAAAUGUUUAGUGGUGUAAGAUGGACUUGCGUCUGAUUAGCUAGUUGGUGAGAUAAAAGCUCACCAAGGCAACGAUCAGUAGCCGGCUUGAGAGAGUGUACGGCCACAUUGGGACUGAGACACGGCCCAGACUCCUACGGGAGGCAGCAGUGGGGAAUUUUGCACAAUGGGGGAAACCCUGAUGCAGCGACGCCGCGUGAUUUAGAAGGCCUUCGGGUUGUAAAAAUCUUUUGUAUAGGAAGAAAAUGACAGUACUAUACGAAUAAGGUCCGGCUAAUUACGUA
rnacentral:rRNA from 1 species